AGAGUUUGAUCCUGGCUCAGGAUAAACGCUGGCGGCGCACAUAAGACAUGCAAGUCGAACGGACUUAACCAUUAGUUUACUAUUGGAGCGGUUAGUGGCGGACCGGUGAGUAACACGUAAGCAACCUGCCUAUCAGAGGGGAACAACAGUUAGAAAUGACUGCUAAUACCGCAUAUACCCAAGUGUCACAUGGCACAAUGGGGAAAGGAGCAAUCCGCUGAUAGAUGGGCUUGCGUCUGAUUAG
rnacentral:rRNA from 1 species